UGCACACACACAGGAAGAUGUACGGUGCAUA
rnacentral:piRNA from 1 species